GAACUAGAAGCUCUGGAAGCUUCUUAAGCGUUUUAUAUAAUCAGAAAUAUAUAUGCGCGUUC
rfam:Drosophila ananassae CG5558, CG11779, nos genes for hypothetical proteins, partial cds.